GAUGAAGAACGCAGCGAAAUGCGAUAAGUAAUGUGAAUUGCAGAAUUCAGUGAAUCAUCGAAUCUUUGAACGCACAUUGCGCCCGCCAGUAUUCUGGCGGGCAUGCCUGUCCGAGCGUCAUUUCAACCAUCAAGCCCCGGGCUUGUGUUGGGGACCUGCGUCCGACGCAGGCCCUGAAAACCAGUGGCGGGCUCGCUGUCCACACCGAGCGUAGUAACUAACCUCGCUAUGGAGUGGCGCGGGCGCCUGCCGUAAAACCCCCAAUUUCACAAGGUUGACCUCGGAUCAGGUAGGAAUACCCGCUGAACUUAAGCAUAUCAAUAAGCGGAGGGA
rnacentral:misc_RNA from 1 species